ACAGGUGGGAAUCAGUGAAUGUAAAUGUAGCUUCAUCCUGUGUUCUUGGCUGCAGCUGCAGGUGUGUGAGCUGAUGUGAAGUGAGCAGCAUGGAUCAGUGUGAGGACAGAGAGGACAGAGUCCCUCCCUCUAAAACCACUCUGUGUGGAGAACAUGAGGACCAGAGCAAAGCUCAGAGGAAACCAGCAGAAUCAGAACCUGGACCAGAACCCAGCUGUGUGUCUUU